ensembl:lncRNA
CUACAGCAGAGGUGAGGCUUGACUUCAACAGCUCUGUGCCAUCCGCACAACUUCCAACUUCUGAUGACGUGGCACGAGUCUUGGUGGACGCUGUCUCCAAUCCCAACAGUACCCUCAAUGUCAGCAUUCUACCGGACUCCGUCCAAGUGACUGGAUCUAAAUUGACUGGAGCAACAACAGCAACUGCCAGAAUGACAGCAGCAGUCAAUGCAACAACAAGCGUUCCCUCCACUACCGAGGCUGCUCCACCGUCCGUGUAUCUGCGAGCAACACUGGAUGAAGUGUUUGUGCCAGAAUUCACAAAUAGAAGCAGUGAAGAAUUCAGGAGUCUUGAGGCCACAGUCAUACGAUUCUGCGACGGCAUCUACGUGACUCGAUUUGGCUCCCGCUUCAUCCGCACUGUCCUCAUAAGGUUUAGCCAAGCUCCAGGCAACGGCAGCACAAGCAAUACUACAGCAGAGGUGAGGCUUGACUUCAACAGCUCUGUGCCAUCCGCACAACUUCCAACUUCUGAUGACGUGGCACGAGUCUUGGUGGACGCUGUCUCCAAUCCCAACAGUACCCUCAAUGUCAGCAUUCUACCGGACUCCGUCCAAGUGACUGGAUCUACAAUACCGGGACCAACAACAACCACUCACAUAUCUACAACAAAUGGAAGGACAACAUCUGAUGGGUCAACAAGUGGAGUAGCUACAACAACAUUUUUAUCAACAACAGGCGGAACAACUACAACAGCAGCUGGAUCAACAGCAACUGCUGGAUCAACAACAACAAGUAGAACAACAACAACUGCUGGAUCAACAACAAGUGCAUCAACCGUAAUUAGUGGAACCACAGCAGCAGUCACUACAACAACUAUUUCUACUACCACUGAGGUUCCCACACCAGUUGUGGUUCUUGGAGCAACUUUAGAAGAACCAUUUGUAGAAGAAUAUAAUGAUAGAAACAGCGAACCAUUUAGAAGGCUUGAGGCAGUUGUCGUACGAGCAUGCAAUUCCAUCUAUUUUGCCCAAUAUGACUUCCUGUUCAUUCGUGCUUUUGUCAUACGCUUUAGGUCAGUUGCACGCUUCACUAUAACAAAUGUUACUGCAGUUGAGGUGGGACUUGAGUUCAAUAGAUCUGCGACACCUGCAGAACUUCCAACAUCUGCCGCUAUUUUACAAACCUUUGUCCGUGCUGUUUCUACUCCUAAUACCUUCAACCUCAGUGUUCAGACCAACACCGUCCAAGUACUUCAAUCAAAUAUAGCAAAUUUAACUACUACAUCCCCCGCUGUAAAUACUACGACCACAGCCACCAGUGCUGCAACCAUAGCCUCCAGUGCUGCAACCACAGCCACCAGUGCUGCAACCACAGCCUCCAGUGCUGCAACCACAGCCUCCAGUGCUGCAACCACAGCCACCAGUGCUGCAACCACAGCCUCCAAUGCUGCAACCACAGCCUUCAAUGCUGCAACCACAGCCUCCAGUGCUGCAACCACAGCCUCCAGUGCUGCAACCACAGCCACCAGUGCUGCAACCACAGCCUCCAGUGCUGCAACCACAGCCUCCAAUGCUGCAACCACAGCCUUCAAUGCUGCAACCACAGCCUCCAGUGCUGCAACCACAGCCUCCAGUGCUGCAACCACAGCCUCCAGUGCUGCAACCACAGCCUUCAAUGCUGCAACCACAGCCUCCAGUGCUGCAACCACAGCCUCCAGUGCUGCAACCACAGCCUCCAGUGCUGCAACCACAGCCUCCAGUGCUGCAACCACAGCCUCCAGUGCUGCUGCUACAACUCCAACUACUGAGGCAUUAGUCACAAGGCAGCUGAGCUUCAGAUCUGUUGGAGAGACAUUUACAACUGAUUUGCUGAAUUCGUCAUCUGAAGCAUUUACACGUCGAGCCUCACUGUUAACAUCAACACUUACACCUUUCUACCAGGCAGAAUUUCCUUCAUUCCGCUCAUGUAUCGUGGAUUCAUUCAGUAAUGGAUCAAUCAUCAACAACGCAACCCUCAGAUUUGCAUCUAUGUCUGUUCCUAAUAACACGGCGAUCAGAAACGUUUUGAUCAGCGCAGCUUCAAAUGUCACAGCCUUCAACAUCGACACCAGCUCCAUUUUUGUGGAAAACACAGAAGUGUCAGGUGGAGUAAGCCACAAGAUGAGCCUGGCCACUGCAUCCUGCUUGGUGCUGCUGUCGUGGCUGCUGUCAUGCCAGCAGUAGCGUCUCUGCUGAUGUCCGUGGAAAAUCCCACUGGAAAAUGUCUGCAGUCGCUGCUGUGAGAGAGAACUUUGCAUGAAAGUUACUUUUAUUUGAAAAUCCAAGAGGACCUUCUGAUGAAUUGCAUAUAUAAUCUGACUUGGAAGGAACUUAUGGAUUUUAAAUUCACCAAAAUUACAAUUUUCUCAGUUUAUUUACAAAUGUAAUUUAUUGUGUUAAAUAAUUUAAGUUAUAAAUAAUGAUACUGAAAUUAAACAUGAAGGCAAAUCUUUAAAAAUGUUAUAAUUUUUAAUGACAAUUCUUAAUUUUAUGUUUUAAUCUAAAUAAGGGCUGGUGAUGCUGACAGCUAAAUAAUGUCUCAAUGAAGGAAAAUAUUCAGCGAAUACUCACAUUGUGAUUUCUCCUUUUCUUUUACCUUCCAUUUGGCAGAUGCAACAUAUAUAUUUUGUACCCAGCAGAGAGUCUUUAUAUUCAGGAGUUUUCAUAGUCUUCCUUUCAGAUCUCACAUAUUUUUAGGAUGUCACUGUGGCAUGUUAAACAUCAAUUCACUGUUCAGGUCUGUGGCCUGUUAAUGUUGUUCUGGUUUUUUGUGUUGUUUGAUGCUCUCUGUUUAUAUCCUUGUGUGGUUGGUUGAUUUUCUUCACAUAUUUGUUCACAUAUUGCAUGUAUUCUUUCAUCUGUUAAUAAAAGAGGG